rnacentral:rRNA from 1 species
AACGCGAAGAACCUUACCUGGGCUCGAAAUGGAGUGGACCGGAGUAGAAAUAUUCCUUCCCCGCAAGGGGCCGCUCUAUAGGUGCUGCAUGGCUGUCGUCAGCUCGUGUCGUGAGAUGUUGGGUUAAGUCCCGCAACGAGCGCAACCCUUAUUACCAGUUGCCAUCAUUAAGUUGGGCACUCAGGUGAGACCGCCUCGGAUAACGGGGAGGAAGGCGGGGAUGACGUCAAGUCCUCAUGGCCUUUAUGUCCAGGGCUACACACGUGCUACAAUGGCCGGUACAAACCGUCGCAAACCCGUGAGGGGGAGCUAAUCGGAAAAAGCCGGCCUCAGUUCGGAUUGUAGUCUGCAACUCGACUACAUGAAGCUGGAAUCGCUAGUAAUCGCGGAUCAGAACGCCGCGGUGAAUACGUUCCCGGGCCUUGUA